rnacentral:rRNA from 1 species
GACGAACGCUGGCGGCGUGCUUAACACAUGCAAGUCGAACGGUAAGGCCCUUCGGGGUACACGAGUGGCGAACGGGUGAGUAACACGUGGGUGAUCUGCCCUGCACUUCGGGAUAAGCCUGGGAAACUGGGUCUAAUACCGGAUAGGACCACUGGCUGCGUGGGUGGUGGUGGAAGGCUUUUGCGGUGUGGGAUGGGCCCGCGGCCUAUCAGCUUGUUGGUGGGGUGAUGGCCUACCAAGGCGACGACGGGUAGCCGGCCUGGGAGGGGUGACCGGCCACACUGGGACUGAGAUACGGCCCAGACUCCUACGGGAGGCAGCAGUGGGGAAUAUUGCACAAUGGGCGCAAGCCUGAUGCAGCGACGCCGCGUGAGGGAUGACGGCCUUCGGGUUGUAAACCUCUUUCAGCACCGACGAAGCGCAAGUGACGGUAGGUGCAGAAGAAGGACCGGCCAACUACGUGCCAGCAGCCGCAGUAA